rnacentral:rRNA from 1 species
AGGUCAUUGCUAUUGGAGUCCGAUUUAGCCAUGCUAGUUGUACGAGUUGAGACUCGUAGCAGAUAGCUCAGUAACACGUGGCCAAACUACCCUAUGGAUCCAGACAACCUCGGGAAACUGAGGCUAAUCUGGAAUAGGGCUCUCAUCCUGGAGUGGAGAGAGCCUGAAAUGCUCCGGCGCCAUAGGAUGUGGCUGCGGCCGAUUAGGUAGACGGUGGGGUAACGGCCCACCGUGCCAGUAAUCGGUACGGGUUGUGAGAGCAAGAGCCCGGAGACGGUAUCUGAGACAAGAUACCGGGCCCUACGGGGCGCAGCAGGCGCGAAACCUCUACACUGCACGCCAGUGCGAUAAGGGGACUCCAAGUGCGAGGGCAUUUAGUCCUCGCUUUUUGCGACCGUAAGGUGGUCGCGGAAUAAGUGCUGGGCAAGACCGGUGCCAGCCGCCGCGGUAAUACCCGCAGCACGAGUGAUGACCGCUGUUAUUGGGCCUAAAGCGUCCGUAGCUGGCCGCGCAAGUCUAUCGGGAAAUCUCUCCGCUUAACGGAGAGGCGUCCGGUGGAAACUGUGUGGCUUGGGACCGGAAGACCAGAGGGGUACGUCUGGGGUAGGAGUGAAAUCCCGUAAUCCUGGACGGACCACCGGUGGCGAAAGCGCCUCUGGAAGACGGAUCCGACGGUGAGGGACGAAAGCUCGGGUCACGAACCGGAUUAGAUACCCGGGUAGUCCGAGCUGUAAACGAUGUCUGCUAGGUGUGACACAGGCUACGAGCCUGUGUUGUGCCGUAGGGAAGCCGUGAAGCAGACCGCCUGGGAAGUACGUCCGCAAGGAUGAAACUUAGAGGAAUUGGCGGGGGAGCACUACAACCGGAGGAGCCUGCGGUUU